GCGAACGCGGAAGCCCUGGAAUUCAUGAUGGCCUUUGCCAGUGAGUGGUCGAGCCCGAACGACGAUGCGGCGCUAACAGGAGGGGAAGAAGACAGGCCCCCACCGUAUCCAGACAGCAAUUGAGACUGGUGCAUCUGGAUUGCAGCAGGGGAUUGCAUCUGAGGCCCCGUCUUCUUCCUCGCGGAGAGCCCCUGCAAUUGGGUUAGCAGCGAUGGAUCGACAGAACCCAACAGAUCAGUGUAGUCUGGAGCUCGAGUGGUUGCCGCGGCUAAGUUGUUCGUUCCCCAGCUGGCCCGCGGAGAGGCCGUUUUUGCGAUUUCGUCGACAAGCUUCUGCUGAUACUCUUCUAAUCCGAGCAACUUGAGGUCGAAAUCCAAGUCUCUGGCACUCAGCGAAGCCUUGAGCCUGCUGCUCGGCAGCUGUAAGGCCGGAGGAGUCACCACGCCGCCCGUCUGAUUCAUCCAUGCCGCUGCGGACCCUAUGCCCGAUGAAGCCGAGGGGGACAUGGGGGAGCCGGGCUGCUGCAUCAGCGUCAAGGCCAUGGCCAUGUCCAAAGAGGAAAGGCCUUGUGAUGACGACGGCAACACCAUUCCGGCAACCGAUGCUGCAGUGGGGUUCACCGUCCGCAGCUCCUCCGGCUUGUGGGCGAAGAAGCAGACCCGGCGGUUGCAGCCAAUCUCAUCCUUGCAGAGCCGGGUCCGGUACUGCGCCGGGUGAAGCCAACUCUCGAACACGCCGUGGGCAUAUUCGCAAGCAUCGCCGUUCCGGCAAGAACCUUUCCGGAACUCGGGGCACGGCACGCAACUGUAGGAGUACUUCCUUGGGUCUCGGCGCCGAGCGUUCUCGCCGGGGUGGACGAAGGGGCACUCCGUCCAGUCGUGGGAGUACGCGCGAGAGCACGGCUUAAUCUUGAAGGUAUACAUCCGGAACUCGUCGGUGCCGUAGAUCCCGGUCUUAAUGUCGGGGAGGGUCAAAUCCGGCGGGUAUUCCUUCUUCUCCGCCUGUUUUGCUUGCUCUUCUCUGCUCGGUGAUGAAACCCUAGGGCAAGAAGUAGCUUUUAAGAUCACCUCGAGGGACUUGGCAACGGUGCUCGAGAAUUGCCGGGCGAUAACGUCGCCGGGGCGGCUCCCGCCCGCAUCGAGGGCGUCAACGACGUCCGCAGACGCGCCGAUCAAGAGCUUAACGGCUUCGAGAGAAGCCGCGGAGCCGCCGGCGGCAGCGCAGUGCAGGGCGGUGGCUCCGUCGGAGUAGGCGUGGCGGACGGCCUCAGCUGGGCAGGCGGACAGGAUGUAGCCCAUCACGGCGGUGCUGCCGUAUAGCGCCGCGAUCAUGAGCGGCGUCCGCAGCUGGUAACCCAUUCCCCGGCCAGGAGAGCGGCCGUACCAGGAGGCAGCGGCAUCCAACGGUCGGCCGUCGUCCUCCACCGCCCGCCUGAAGGCGGCGAGGUCGUCGGAAGCGGCGAGCUCAAGGAGCACUGCGGCCGCCUCCGACGAAGUCUCCAUGGCCUCUGCGCCGCAUCCCGCCGCGGGGUCGUUGGGCAGCGAGGAGAGCUUCCGGUGGCCGCCACACAUGUCCUCUCUUCCACCUACAUCAAGCAACAAAACUCCGUCAAAAACCAAAAAGAGGCAACAAAUCGAACGCCACGAUGAAACCUAUGAGAAUGGAUGCGUACGAGAGCCGAUGCGAGUGUGAGGGAACGAAGGGAACGAGGAGGUCGUGAUUUGCGAGGAAAGCUUUGGCCUUUCGUCCCCUUUUGUAGGCGUGAGUGGGAGUGCGUGUCAAUUAUGCUUGUCAGGCAAAUCCACAUUUAAAAUUGCAUAAUGACCCUUGCGGAACCCCAUAACUCAUAAUGUCGCACAUAAGAUUCUCUCAUAAACGCCCCUGAGAGGGAUCGAUAUGAAAUUUUAUAUUCUGUAGGGACGGAUGUGGGAUGGGUCGCAAUAAUUCCACGGGGAGAGAGAGAGAGAGAGAGAGAGAUGAGGGAAGCAGGUGGGAACUGCGCUCGGGUCAAAAAGACGACUCCGGGAAGGAAGCUGCCUUCUUCCUACCCGUCUCUCCGGAUGAGAACGAAAUGAAACGACGCGCGGUCCAAACCCCGACACACAAAAUGAAACGACGAGAUGACUGACGCCGUGUGCCCCCGUGGGAAUUCCCGUCUGGGAUUCCGUCCACAGCGGGCCACGCGGCGUCAGCGUCCGUGGGAGGAGGCCACGUUGAAUCCGAGGCGACUUCGAGUGGCUCGGUCGACACGCGUGAACCGUUCAUCUUCGUUUCCCCCCUCUGCGGCCGGACGAGGGUCCGGGACCAUGUGGGUCCCACAUAUUUUAUUGGUCAGAUGGGAGAUAAGGAGGUGGGUAACUGGUGGGGUGGCGUGAGGUGGGGAGAAACCGCUCAUCGGGAAAUGGGAAUGCCGUGGGCCGCAGGCAGCGUCGAAUACCGAGGUAGCCCCCACCAAAGAUUCGAGCACGCUCGGUGAGCGUACCGCGCCACAGAGUCGUGCUCCAAAUCGUUUGCCGAGUCGCUGCCCACAGCGCUCCUCUACCCGAGUCACGAAAUCAACGCGUGUCGAUCGCAACCGAAUCUAAAUCCAGUCUUCGGGUUCGAGCGGGCAGAUUAAUCGGGCAUGCGAAGAUAAAAAAUGCUACGCAUGAUAUAUAAUACGUCGAAUCGGUCAGACCAUAUAAAGGCCAUAUGAUACACACUCGAGUGUUUAGCAAACAAAUCGACAUGAUGAAUGUUGUUUAGGUGGAAAGAGACGAUGGUUGCAGACAAAUAGUGUGACAAGGUUUAGUUUGACCACGAAGUCAUCGGCCGCCACGGUCGGCUUUUGGAUAAGAAAUCUACGUUCAAAAUGUAAGAAAAUGGAAGCUUGACCUCGCACUACCCAAUGGUACAUUACAAUAAAUAUUAUUAGAGGGGGUGGGUGGUGAGUCUCUUUCCGGGCCCCACACCGUGUUCUAUGUUUAUGAGGAGAUGGGUGGUAUGAGAGGUGGAGAAUUAAUACCAGUAGAAUACUCGGUCCUUUGUUUCUUUCUUUCCCUAGAUUUAUUAUCAUAUGCUGAUGGAGUGGGACAAUUUGGAUGCCCCAAAAACAAUUAUAUAGAUGAUACGAUUUUAAUUUUUAUUUGAUACCAGAUGAGGUUCGGAAUAAAUCAAACUUUAUUCGUAAGAUUGAGAUAUUGAAAAACGAUCCUAUAAAAGAUAUGUGAAGACAUAUUCGAGGAAGAAGUUCAAAACGAUUUGAUCGAGUAUAUAGAAGUGUCCUUAAGUCAAUAAAAUUAAAUUUUAGAGGAUUUGAUCAAGCUCGAGUAUAUUCAGGUGCAAGUCUUUAAGAAUACACUCGAAAGGUCUUUUUAUGGUAUGAUAAAUGAUGUUGGAGUUGAAUGUUGAAAAGUGACAUGCCUAGAAGAUAAGAGCUGUGUCAGUGAACCACUAAUAGAUAGUAACAUUCACAAUAUAAAUGUAUCCUCAGUCAAAGUCAAAUAUUUGAAUGAUUCAGGGCAAAAAUAUGAUUAAUGCAUCUCAGGAUUUGUCAUAAUUUUGAAGAGUACAAGGCAAGUUUUCUUGAACUAUUGGAUUAGUUUUUUUUUAUAAGCAGUGAGUUAAUUAGAUUUCACCUCAAACAAGACAGCCUUAAUAAUAAUCACAAAAAGGAAAGAGAAAACAAAUCACUGGAAACUUUUGAACAGUGUUAUUUCACUUCCACCAGUUUAAUAGUGAGAUUAAGUGUGGCCACCAGACCUCUUCUAUAAGAACAGACACAGUGCCACUUAUGUGUGAUGAAAUGCAAUUUGACUCAUGCAGUUGUUCCAACCUAAUCAACUGAAAGAAGAUUCUUCAAAGUUCAAAGUCAAGGUUUAUUAUUUCCUUGUGCACAGUGAUGAUUCUAUUUGUUGUAUCCUUUUGAUUCAUGGAGAACUUGAACCUGACAUAAUAUAUAAUAUCUGAAACUUUGUUGCAGAAAUUUCUUUCCUAUUAUGACAAUCUCCAAUGUGGAGGAGUUCAUCCUUCCACUGGCAACUAAGUUCUUUAAUCAGUAUACAUUUGACCAUUGUCAGACAUCAGAAACACUGCAUAAAUGGAUAGCAACUUCAAAUCCACCAACCACCACAAAGAGAAGGAGUUGGAGCAAGUCAACCAUUUGAGAUUUAGAUAAGAUUUCAUCUCCAGCUUCAGACAAAACAAUUAAACCAGGUUAGGACUCUCCCAAUAUUUCUAGAUACCAUGAUAAUAGUUAGCUUUAGCAGAUAUUGAUGAUGGCAUUAGAAACAUGAUGCACUCACCAUUUUCCCAUGACUUCCAUUGUUAUGCACAACUACUCAUCAUCAAGGGAGGAAGCUUCAUGAUCAUUUCAUGGCUGCAUAUAUAGGCCCACUGUUCUCGGCAACAAUUACCUGCGACUAGGAAAAAAAAUAGCAUAUUUUCACUGAAAAAAAUAACAGAUAUCAAAGUUGAUGGGACUGGCUACCCAGUUAUGUGUACAACAGAGCAGAACCAUCCGAUAAGCAUCACUUGCAUGAUUAAUUUCAAGACAGGUGAAUUCCUCAUGCUAUUGUAACAUGUGAUCACACCAACUGUUUCUAAAAUGCAGAUAGAAAGUGUUAUCACACAAAUUCGAAUCAGGUUGCGGUAGGAAGAACUUCAAACAGCAUCAUCAUACAAACACGAAUCGCAUCAGCAGCUUUACGGAAUUGAAUUUGUUGCCCUUGUGGUCAAAAAGUGGCACAGCCCUGAUCCCUGGCCUCAACUCCGAAACAGGAAUGCAAGUCUGUCCACCAAAGUCAUCCUUCUCAGACAUAUCAUACUCAUGUACUUCAAUACGAAGCAAAGCCAGUUCAGGUACAGUUAAAGUGAAGGUAAACUCCUCAUCCCAAACUGGUGUCCAGUUGUCCUCUAUUGUCUUUGUUUUCUUCAUCACGGUGUCAGCUGGAACUCCAGCUAUCCCUACCUGUUAAUUACCAAACAAUUGCAGCAUAAAUCAGAUCAACCAUCAUCCUGUUGAAGUUCGAGAGCAACAUCCCUCAGCUUUAGUCCAUAGAGAAAAGAAAAUACAUUAAAUCUGAAACAAACUAAUAGUUUGUAUAUGUUACCCUUGUAUAGAAAUCUGGAGGAGAAUAUGCAUCAAAGUGUGUCUGACUAAAAUCCAUACGCCAACCAUCUCCCAUAUAAAUUUUUACCUGUCCAAAAAUAUUGACUUGAUCAACAAUUUCAACUUCUGAUCAAAAACAAAAAAAGAAAGGGAUGCAAAAGAAAAAUUUAUGAAGAAAACUAUUAUCACCUUUAAAGUUUUCUUUACAGGUAAGACGGCUUUAGGAUCAAAAACCUCAUUGUUUGGACCAGCCUUCACCAAGAAAUCAGGCUUCUUUAUAUACCCACAACCCCCAUUGGCUUUAUAAAAUCCAUGCAUCAGCCACAGCGACCUGCCAUAUCCCUACGGAAGAAAUGGCAAUAGAAUAUCAAGUGCAGUGUUCCUAAAGGGAUUCAAACAAAAUUUACUUAAUGAAGGUUUUGCCAUGAAAGACUAAGUGAAGCCAUUUUGAUGCGAAAUGACUUAUUAUGUACUUGAAACCAAUACCACAAAUCCUUGUAAAUUUUUUUUGGCAGCCAGCAGCAUGGUUUGGACAUCGCAGUGGAAAAUUGGAGUCUCAAUGUAACUUGAUCUGACAUCAAAACUUGUUAAAUCACACAAUUUCCAGACUCCAAACAGAUGGAAUCUUAGCCUAUUUGUCGGUUGCCCUCCACAUAUUAAGAAAGGUUCUAAGUUCAGAUACUUGUGGAUGUGGUGCCCAUAGACGACGAAUGACGAGAAGGCAUAAGACGGGAAAGAAAAUAUUCAUCAUGUAUUUUGAUCAGUAUUUCAAGACUAGAGAUACCUGCAUGUUGAAUGCAACCAUCUGAGCACCAUGAAUCCAACCAAUGAAUGGAUUGUAGUUAGAAGAAUUAAAGCGGGUGCCCUUUGGAUAUAUCCUGAGAAGAUUUUUCUGAGUGAACCUAUAAAAUAAAAUGACAAUUAUAUCAACAGACUAACAGAUUCUCAGAAAACAAGUAACAUUCGGGUGAACAUGCAUGCUCCAUCCAAGUUAAAAUAUUUGCAUGGGCUAAAACUACCAACAGAUUACUAAAAAUAUAUAAAUAGAGGAAGUUUCUGAUAUUUUCCAAUUAAUUUUGCAUGUGAUGGGAGCUGAUUUGAGGUAGUAUGAAGCUCAUGGAUAUUUCCAAAAGAGGCCCAAAGAUAAACCAAUUAAACGGGUGUGUCAAAAUAUAUCAGGGGUGUGAGGAUUGGCAAAAGAACAUCCGACAAGAAUAUAUUAGAAACAGUAGUCUUUUUAUCAAAAACAAUAAAGACUUCUGCUGGAUUUUAGAUUGGCUAGUAAAAUUGCUCACGAUAAAGCUCGAUGAUAGGAAAAAGAUCUACAAAGUGGCCUCCCGUUAUUGUUGUCCGAAUGAUUUUUUGCAAUAAGAAAAGAGAAAUCAAACAAGAUUUGAAAAGGAAUGCACACUUAACAAAAUUAGGACCUUAGUAAAUCAGCUCCGUGUGUCGCUGCAGCUUUGACAAGUUCUUGCUCACUCAGACUUAAUCGUCUAACUUUCUCUGGAUCAACGUUUAGUGCUUCGCUCAUGUGACCCUUAGGUUUCCCUGCCCUGAUGGUGAUUAGACAUUUGUACUCAGGCGGUGCAUUCUGACGCUCUUUUUGAUCAUCAUCAUCAUCUGCAAGUUCCUCAUCUUGAACUUCUUCAUCCUGAGCAAUCUCAGUAAUAAGAAACUGGCUAUUAAAUACACAGUGAAUAUUAGACAUCAGAUGGAAGUGCAUUAAACAUCAUUUGACACCUUAUUAGCUAAUUCAAAUUCAGUUUGUAUAUCUGAAACCUCCUUUCCCCACGCUUCUUCUUCAUUAGAAUCAUUUUCUUUUUGAGUAUCACAAUCCUUCUCCUUAAAACUUUUAGCUUCAAGGUACUCUUUUGGUGGUUUGGUGGAAAUGAUAAUCCUUUUCUUCAGAGCUUCUGGUGAAGGGAAUUCCUUGUGACUUUCUGAGUCAGGGUAGUACAGCAUGUCUCCAAAUGUUUCCAUGACCAUCUAAAGAAAUGUUUCGCUUGAAGUUAAAAGAUGAAUUGAAAAUACACGGUUGAAAAUUUUCAUUAAGGAGAAAAAAGAAUCUACCUUGGCUACUUUAGCCUGGAGAUCAGGAGUAAGGUGGUCCUCCAAAGUUAUGAUAACAGGAUACGGAGAUGCUGAAAAGGCAUGCUCUUUGAUGGAUUUUAAACAUCUGAUAAGCUCCACAGGAGAAGUCAAUGUCCUACAUAACAAAUUUUUUAGAAGGUAAGCUAAGGCACUUAAAUACAAAGAAGUGACCAAUAGCUGCAUAUUAACAUUAAGCGCAAUUUCAUGUCUUUGGUUAUUAACAUACUGAACCUAGUUACCUUAUUAGCAGCAGCAUCAACCAAGCAGCUUAAAUAGGAGGAGGAAAUGGGGCACACACGUAUAUAGCUGUUAAUUAGAGUAGAGGAAAAAAAUAUUUGAUACAGAACGGAAGGAACUUGCCUGUGGACCAUUUGUUUGCAUUUUUUUUCAAGACAAUGAAUUAUCAAAAAAGAAGUGUGGCAUUUGUUCUUCAGUAUGCCAAUUUUUAUCUUAAUAAAAGGCAUUUUAAAUUACUCUCAGAGAAUCAACCAAAUCAUAUGGAUGAACAAAAACAAAGAUAUACCACCUGAGAACUUGCAAACUCUGUGGAUCUGUUCCACUGUGUCUAACAAUAAUGUCGAUUUGAGAAUCAUAAACGUUAUACAAAAGAGAAUUAUCAGGCCAUGUCAUAUAUAGUAUGCUACAUUAUAAAAAAAAUACUAGGUGCAAUAUAUUAUUUUUCACAAUUUUCUCUAAAUAGUGAUCCGAUAGAAAAGUUUAAGAAGAAACCAGGCAUAACACCAGUAUACCUUCCAUGAAGAACAUUGAUAUUGUCUCUUGCAGAAUUUGGCCAUAUAUCCAGCUCAAUUACUCUCACACCUCUCUGAAGUGCUCUUAUAAUUGGAACAUCGCUGCAGUCACUACUGAGCUGGUUUCCCGUCAAGUAUGAAUUGUGGCCUGUAUAUAUGUAAUAGUGGGACAGUGGAGCCGUCAUAUCAUGGUGAACCUGCAUUAGUAUCAAGUAUUCAUAUUGCUAACAUGUAAAAAUUUCUGAGCUAUGAUUUAAGCAGUACAGUUAUAUUAACCUGUAAGUCAUGGCUAUAGGCUGAACAGUAUAACAGGAAAUUGAAGUGUCAUAAUAUCUUAGAUGUUCAGAAUUUAUUAUCACUUGGAAGGGAAACACAAUAGUAAUAAUAUCAUCAGCAUAGUUCAACAUGAAGUUCUGGAUAAAACAAUUAGGAUAUUGGAUUCUUCCAUUAGCACCACUGGCACAGAAUCAGUUUCUCCAAUGUAUUUGUUUCAAUUUUUAUCACUGAAAAAGAUCAAAGCAUAAUAUCAGGUAAUCAAAGAACAUUAAAAACAAAAAACAAACCUAAGCAAGCAGCAUGUAAGGGAAAGAAACAAAGUAGCCUGAGAUGGUAACAUUUGAAACCUAAAGAACAGAUCUACAAGUUUUUAAUAUCUUGAUCAACCAGUAUCUUAGCAAUAAGAUAAAUGAGGCUUGUAAUUCUACCAUAAAUAGCAUACAAAAGAGUAUCACAUUAGAUUCUUUUUUCCAACAUUUACUGAACAUAAAAGGAACAUCUUCCACGACAAGCAUCGACUAGAAUGCAUCAUAAUUCACAAGAAUUAAUUGCUCAAGUCUAUGUGAUUUCGAUUCCUAAAUAUGACUUGUACAGUUCUUCUAAAGUUGUCGUCUUUAAUCCAAAGACAGAAGCAAUCAUGGACCAACUUUCAACAAAUACUACACCUCCAUCGAAGGUAACAACAACAGGGGCCAAGCAGACCACCAGGAUCAAGAGAUCUACAAGAGGCGCGAGCAGACCUGCGGUUGUAAGGGAGGGUUCAGCUCCUCGGAGAAGAGGUAGUGGUGGAAAUCGUCGAGGGUGAAGGGCGGCUUGGAGAGCUUGGCGAGGUGGGAGGGGCGGCGGAGCUGGCGGACGCGCUCCAUGACCCGCUCGGCGUCGGCGGCGGUGGCCCCGGCCUCGCCCUGUGCCUCCUCUAGGAACUGACGGAGCUGAUCCGCAGUCAUGUGGGCUCCGCCCUCGGCGUAGGUCGCGAAAGCCUCCCGCACGUCCUCUGUGGGCUUCGCCUCGCUCCACCGGAACUUCCUCGUGAAGCAGAUGCAGCACCUGUAGCUCCCCAUCCUCUCUCUCUCUCUCUCCAAAAUUCCACCUUCCUUGCUUACAUCCACGACCAAAUGGGGCUCCCGGCAAAUAUAAACGAUCGAAGACGGCGAAGACGAGGAGGCGCGCCGCGAAAUGGACGCGGUUUAACUGUCACAGUGGUUUCCAGUGACUCUCCGAGAAAGGAUAGGGAUACCUCCCUCAGAAGAACACCUUUCGUUACCGACACGACCGAAGCCCACACACGCACCCACCCGCAGCAAGAGGGCCCCAGAUCGUGGCCGUCGCUUUGGGUGGGGAAAGAGACCUCGUCAAGGGUUUCCAUGGAGAAUGCCGUCCCGAUCUCGUAACGGCGACGUUGUUGGUGAAGGUAAUGCCCCGGUUCGUGAAUCACAAAGUACACGUGGACAAGAGUCAUCCGUCAGAUCGAAACUCAGACUGUGUCCCUCGGCGACCGCGACGGUCACACCGGUGGGGUGAGAGGGACCAAAGAAUAAUUGGGCCGGCGUACGUGUCGGAUACGCGGUCACGAUCACCGGGUUUGGGUCAACCUUAUCCACGCUGCCGGUCUAUGGAUUAAUAAUGCUGAUGAGGGUAAAUAAUGGUGACAUGUCGUGCCACGACGUCAGUCAUACCUGGGUGUCACUCUGCCCGAGGAGAAGGGCAAUAAUGUCGACUCGACAUGCGCUGACGUCACCCACUCUCGGACAACGAUGAAGUCGUUGUCUGACCCGCGCGCUUGACCGAGGCAGAGGAGGACGACGACUGAUGCUCGCCCAUACCCUGCGGCAGUUCGGUUCUCCACCCAACGCCAAUGGCAAUGUCAAACGCCAUCAGAGGUACAGUCCUGCUCCUGCAAACAGGCACAUCAGGUAAUGCUAAACUUACCUAUAAAUACCCUAAAGUUCUAAAUAAAAAGGAGAACACUUCUUCACUAGCAAACUCCUUCCACAUUAUCUAACUUGAUCGUUGGAGGGGUCGGGCCGAGCUUCUGACCCGACCUGUGUGCAGGUACAAGGGCGGGGUCGCAUCCUCCCGGCGCUACGGAAAAAUCUCUCUCCCGACGCAACGUCCCGACCGGACCACCGUAACCGGCCACCUCAACUGUCCCGGGGAACGCCGCGCAAGAUCCCCGCACAUUCGAACCUGAACCUGAACCAAAACGCGUCGGCCCGAGGCCACGGCAUAAAUUUGUUUACCCCUAACAAAUGCAACAAAGAAUAAUAGUAGGAUUAGGAUCUACAUUAAUCCAAUUCAAGAUGUGUCUAUUCAAAUUGAAUUUGGAAUAGGUUCGUUUAUCUAAAUAAUUAUCUGGAUUAGACAUCGGAUAUCUUUGAUUUAGAUAGGAGGGGAAGUCAAGGAGUCAUUUGGUACUCACCAUCUCAGACUCGAACAUGGAAGAAGACGACCGAGCCAAAAGAAGGGUUUUUUCUUCGUCGUGGAUCUUAUAGCCCCUGCUUUAAUGCAACUCAGUCACGCCAAUCCCAUUCUCUUGACGGGAACGUCCGCGAUGCCUUGCAGCAAUAAAAUUGAGAUGACAUCUGAGAUGAGAUAGAGUUGGAGAUGGAACACUGAGGGAAAGGGUGUUCCAUUAUUUUUCGAACAAGGAAAUCUCAAUCAGCUGACCUCAUGAUGUCUGGCCAGUUAUACAUAUGCUUUAAAGACGAGAUAAGCAAUCCAGUUCCUCUGGGUGAGGCCAACCAAGACCACCAGCAGAAACCACGGCCAGCGGCACCGGGAAUGGUCUCCUCGGCGACCGUGUCAUAAGGUCAGAGUAUUAUUCUCGCCACUGUUAUCGCCCAAGGACAAAGGAUAAAGAUUGUCGAAGACGUGGAUACCUUCCCUCUCGCCUACCAGCUAACCCAGAUGCAUCUCCCUCUCGCCGGCGCCUCCACGAACUGGAAAGAAGGGCCCAUGUGACAUCUCCUCCGCUGGGUUCCCCCACUGGUCCGCUGCCUCCGCGGUACCUCCCGACCUUCGCGAUUAAGCUUCACUCAGAAAGGCUGCGCUGCAUCUCGUCACGGUAUGACGUGGCGAGAUUGAUGACCAUCCACUCGGUCAACAAAACACUAUUCUUUGUUUUCUUCCGUUCCCUCCAGGGGCGCAGAGCCCUCCCAACGAGCCGAAACACCCAGCGGAAGCACCUUCUGGGCCCCACAACAGAAAUCAACAUGGCCCACCUUCUAUAUAGGAACCGAGCCUUCCGGGGUUUCCCUCCGUACUCCCCAUCCCCCCCCCCCCCGCCUGCUCGAGUGCACCAUGAGCUCCGCCAACGAGAACCAACAACGCGGAGAGGAGACGGCUGCAGCCCGCAACGAGCCCCGCGCCCCUGAGCAUUUCGCCAAGUUCUUCGAGUGCUGGCUCGCCGAGCAAGAACGCGACCUGCAAGUCCUCCGUACCGCAGCCGCUUCCGCCGGCGAGGAGCUCCGGCUUCGACCCCUCGUUGACCGGGUCCUCGGCCACUACGAGUACUACUACUGCGCCAAGGCCGCCUCCGUCCGCCGCGACGUGCUCCCCAUGUUCAACCCCACGUGGACGUCCUCCACGGAGAACCUCUUCCUUUGGGCCGGCGGCUGGCGGCCCACCAUGGCUUUCCACCUCCUCUACUCCAAGUCCGGCCUCCAGUUCGAGCCCCGGCUUCUCGAGCUGAUCGUCGGCAACCCCACGCGCGACCUGGCCGACCUGAGCCCCGACCAGCUGGAGCGCAUCGAUGGGCUCCACCGGCUGACGGUGCGGCUGGAGAAGGAGAUAUCUGAAGAGGAGGCGCAGGUGCAGGAGUCGGUGGCGGACGCACGGAUGGUGGAGCUGACGCAUGCGUUGGCGGAGUCAGAGGAGGUAGAAGCUGAUGCCAUGGAGCAGGAGAUGAAGAGGAAACGGGACAGGAUGAACGAGGUGUUGCAGAGGGCGGAUCAGCUGAGGCUGGAGACGCUGAAGGGGCUGGUGGAGAUACUGAAGCCGGUGCAGGCGGUGCAUUUCUUGAUCGCGGCUGCGGAGCUUCACCUCAAAGUGCACGAGUUUGGGAAGAGCAAGGACGCUGCCGCUGCCGCUGCCGCUACUGGCCGACCAGAGUAAGGCAGGUGUUUAACUGCAUCUUGUAUCUGUUAUUGGGAUGGUCUGUUUUAAGUUGAGCAUAAAGCACACUAACUACUACCACUUGUGACAUGUACUUAUGCUUAGUUAGCAUGUAGAACAUUAGCAUUAUAUCCUAAUCCAAUGGAUCCCGUCGGACCCGUUUAUAAUCCGAUCAUGUCCCGGACUCGAGUGCGACAAAUCAUGCACAUAGGCACGUCGAUCGCGAUCCCUCUCCGCGCAUGCACCGUCUCUGCGAAUCGCUGCAAGGAAGCUCCCAUCCGUCCCAGAUGCACGCAUCGUUAAAGCCCAUCGAGGCCGUCCAUCACCCAUGGCCACCCGUCACGAUCAACUACAUAUGUCGGCCGGUACACGUUCGUCCCCAUCCCCCACCUCCACCGCCACUGCCGCCGCGCAACUCGCCGCCCAUGUCCUCUCUGGUUCCAUAAAUAACAGAACCCGGCUUCGCCUUCUUUAUCUCUUCAACGGCACCGUCUCUCCGAAACCGUUUCGCCAUCGUCCACCGAUGUCUUUGCGCAGCGACUACGAACAACCCCAAACCCUAGCGGCGUUCUCUCCUCGAUCCGUCACCUACUGGUUUGCGUCGACCUCCUAAUCGAUCCGUCUCUUCAGUCGCGAUCGCAAGUCGGACUGGUAAAUUUGUCGCUUUUGUGUUGUUUUGAUGCAGCUGCGGAUCUUGUGGGUACGCGUUGAAUCUGAGCUCUUCCGAUCGGGACACCGCCAACAUCGGUUCCAAGUACAGGAAAUCCGCCAAGAAGGGCAUCGUUUCCUUCGUUGCCGUGGACGAGAGCCGGUUCUCGCAGGUCGAGGAGCUCCGUUGCUGGCCCUACUUCGAGUCGAGGCAUUCGUGGGGGUUGCUGAGGAGGAAGACCAAGUUGUCCUGUCGAAAGUGCAAGAACUUCGUUGGCGUCGGACAUUACGACGGCGCCUCCACACAGGCUGGGUCCGAUAGCUCCGUCUCGGGUUCCGGUAACGGCGAGGCGCCGAAGAAGUACUUCAUCAAGAUUAGCGCGCUGCAGCCGCUGGCGUGCGAUGACUGAGGCGUUCCUCUCUCCAGGUGAUGUUUGCUGCCAUGCCGACAUCGGACUCGCUCCUUGAUUUCGUGCAUAUGCUUGUGUGAGAAAGAAGGUGUCAUAUGUCGGGAUCCGGAACACGGUUGUACAAGAUAAUUGGACCCAAAAAAAUGAUGCCUUUGAUCUGUUUGUAGUUUUGCCUCUAAGAGUAAAGCGUGUAAUGUGUGAAUAAGAUGGUACCGAACGAAAGUUGUUGGUGAUUUUUGCGUUGGCGACAUGAGAUUUUGAUCCAUGGAUCAUAUGAACUGCAAGUUAGGAUGUUCGAUCAACAUAUGGUGGUGGAGAAUUAGCUUGAUGAAUACAUCUCGCCAU
rnacentral:lncRNA from 1 species